rnacentral:lncRNA from 1 species
UGUUUUAAAGAGGUUUUAAAUCCUUACAAAUAGCGUUCAAACUUUUCUGACCUUCAAAUUUUGCUUUUGCAGAAACUCCAACUACUACAACAACUACCAGUUCUCCAACGACUGCUGCUGGAUUACCAACAACCACUGGAGGUUCAACCACCACAGGAGGAUCAACAACCACUGGAGGAUCCACAAUGACUGCAGGACCAACAACCACUGGAGAAUCAACAACCACUGGAGGAACAACAUCUACUGAAGUAUCAACAACAGCUGGAGGAUCAACAACCACUGCAGUACCAACAACCACUGGAGAAUCAACAACCACUGGAGGAACAACAACAGCUGGAGGAUCAACAACCACUUCAGUACCAACAACAACUGGAGGAUCAACAACCACUGGAGAUUCCACCACCACAAGAGGAUCAACAACCACUGGAGCAUCAACAACAACAGAAGCAUCAAUAACAACUGGAGGUUCAACAACCACUGAAGCCCCAAAAAUUACCAAUCCAGUUUUUGUUUUCACCGCAGUGAUAAUACAGACAUUUAUUCCUGCUUAUAAUGAUAAUACCUCACCCGAAUAUCAAGCACUUGAGACCGAAGUUGUGAUAACGUUUAACGCAAUCUACAAAGCUCAAUUUGGCGACCGGUUCAUUCGGACAAUUGUCAUCGGAUUCAGGAUCUCUGCGACUCGAUCGACCAAUACGGAAGCAGAAGUAAAGCUUGAGUUUCAGCCAACUACUUCGUCACAACCGAUCCCACAGGCUGACGAUGUUCGAAGUACCCUGGUCGAAGGACUGAACAACCCAAACAUAACCUCUAACCUCACUGUAGAUACGGAAAGCAUUACGAUCACACGUAUGUAAACCCUUUGCAGGAUCUUUCAUAACAUUGUUCGCCUACAAUUUGGGAUAACAGCAACCACAGGGAAUACAGA